UUGCUCUUCAACGAGGAAUGCCUAGUAAGCGCAUGUCAUCAGCAUGCGUUGAUUACGUCCCUGCCCUUUGUACACACCGCCCGUCGCUACUACCGAUUGAAUGGCUCGGUGAGGCCUUCGGACUGGCCCAGGGAGGUCGGCAACGACCNACCCAGGGCCGGAAAGUUGGUCAAACCCGGUCAUUUAGAGGAAGUAAAAGUCGUAACAAGGUCUCCGUAGGUGAACCUGCGGAGGGAUCAUUACAAGUACACUACCGGCCUAACCCGCCGGCUAUGUAUAACCCUUUGUUGUCCGACUCUGUUGCCUCCGGGGCGACCCUGCCUUCGGGCGGGGGCCCCGGGUGGACACUUCAAACUCUUGCGUAACUUUGCAGUCUGAGUAAAUUUAAUUAAUAAAUUAAAACUUUCAACAACGGAUCUCUUGGUUCUGGCAUCGAUGAAGAACGCAGCGAAAUGCGAUAAGUAAUGUGAAUUGCAGAAUUCAGUGAAUCAUCGAAUCUUUGAACGCACAUUGCGCCCCCUGGUAUUCCGGGGGGCAUGCCUGUUCGAGCGUCAUUUCACCACUCAAGCCUCGCUUGGUAUUGGGCGACGCGGUCCGCCGCGCGCCUCAAAUCGACCGGCUGGGUCUUCUGUCCCCUCAGCGUUGUGGAAACUAUUCGCUAAAGGGUGCCCGGGAGGCUACGCCGUAAAACAACCCCAUUUCUAAGGUUGACCUCGGAUCAGGUAGGGAUACCCGCUGAACUUAAGCAUAUCAAUAAGCGGAGGA
rnacentral:rRNA from 1 species